rnacentral:lncRNA from 1 species
AUGGAAAAAAUUUCAGCACUUCAUGCUGUCCUUGUGGUUGAGAUGUGCUUUUCAAUUCUCAUAGUGUCUUGUAAUCACAUAUCUUUGAGAGGAAGCUCAGCUUCAUCAUCCCUUUUCCCAAGCAACUUCCUCUUUGGAACUGCAUCCUCUUCUUACCAGGUAUCUAGCCUUCUCUUCUUUACACACACACAGAAUCAGUUUGUUUUAGUUAUAAAUUUUCAUUUCUUCUUCAUUAUUUUUAUCAGUUUGAGGGAGCUUUUCUGAAUGAUGGUAAAGGCCUCAACAACUGGGAUGUUUUUACUCAUAAGCCUGGUUAG